GGAGGGAAAGACAGAGAGCACACAAAAUACAAACCAAUGAAAAACAAGAGGAGGAAAGGAAGAAGGAGAAAAAGGGAGACAACAGGAUGGGGUGGAUAUUGGGCGAGAAGAAUAGAGAGAGAGAGAGAGAGAGAGAGAGAGAGGCUGAGCUGGUGUUCGCUACCUGCUGCUCCUUUAAAUGGGCUCUUCCAGUUGAGCUGGCAGACUGGGAGGAAUGGGGAGGGACGGGCUGGGGGUUUUAGUAUCCAGCUGCCUCCCCGCAACCAAGCAAAGCUUGCCAGAUUAGUGCGCUUACAUAAACGCCAUCCAAGGGGAACACGCACACGUCACACACACACACACACACACACACACACACACACACACACACACACACACACACACACACACACACACACACACACACACACACACACACACACACACACACACACACACACACACACACA